AUUGCUUCUCGGCCUUUUGGCUGAGAUCAAGGGUAUUAUGUUAUUAUCAGUUUAAUAUCUGACAGACGCAUCCUCUCUCCGAAGACAUUAUCUUAAAUGGAAUUUUGGAGCUGUCAAGUGGAAUACGAGCUUGCUAUGUCCACUCCGAGCAUCGACCUGGUAUUGUGGUACUUCUGGAAAUGGUGCACUGCCU